CCUACGGGAGGCAGCAGUGAGGAAUUUUCCGCAAUGGGCGAAAGCCUGACGGAGCAAUACCGCGUGAGGGAUGAAGGAUUUUGGUCUGUAAACCUCUUUUCUCAAGAAAGAAGUUCUGACGGUACUUGAGGAAUAAGCAUCGGCUAACUCCGUGCCAGCAGCCGCGGUAAUACGGGGGAUGCAAGCGUUAUCCGGAAUGAUUGGGCGUAAAGCGCCUGUAGGUUGUUUAUUAAGUCCGUUGUUAAAGCCUAGGGCUUAACCCUAGAAAAGCAAUGGAAACUAGUAGACUAGAGUAUGGCAGGGGUAGAGGGAAUUUCUAGUGUAGCGGUGAAAUGCGUAGAUAUUAGAAAGAACACCGGUGGCGAAAGCGCUCUACUGGACCAUUACUGACACUCAGAGGCGAAAGCUAGGGUAGCAAAAGGGAUUAGAUACCCCUGUAGUCCUAGCCGUAAACGAUGGAUACUAGAUGUUGUGCAUUAUGUACAGUAUCGUAGCUAACGCGUUAAGUAUCCCGCCUGGGGAGUACGCUCGCAAGGGUGAAACUCAAAGGAAUUGACGGCNGAGANGCGACGCGACACGAGGAGAG
rnacentral:rRNA from 1 species